CGUCAAGUCCGCAUGGCCCUGACGCCCUGGGCGACACACACGCUACAAUGGCCGGGACAGCGGGCGGCCAAGCGGUAACGCGGAGCCAAUCCCCAAAGCCGGUCUCAGUUCGGAUUGCAGGCUGCAACUCGCCUGCAUGAAGCCGGAGUUGCUAGUAACCGCGCGUCAGCCAUAGUGCGGUGAAUACGUUCCCGGGCCUU
rnacentral:rRNA from 1 species